UACGUAGCGGGCAAGCGUUGUCCGGAUUUAUUGGGCGUAAAGAGCGUGUAGGCGGCUUCACAGGUCCGCUGUGAAAACUCGAGGCUCAACCUCGAGCUGUCGGUGGAAACCGUGUGGCUAGAGUCCGGAAGAGGAGAGUGGAAUUCCCGGUGUAGCGGUGAAAUGCGCAGAUAUCGGGAAGAACACCCGUGGCGAAGGCGGCUCUCUGGGACGGUACUGACGCUGAGACGCGAAAGCGUGGGGAGCGAACAGG
rnacentral:rRNA from 1 species